rnacentral:lncRNA from 1 species
GAAAAGUUUAACGGUGAACAUUUAUCAUCAUUCAAACCAACAACCAUUACGGAACUCACGAAGAUCAUACAAUCUGCACCAUCAAAACACUGUGAACUAGAUCCAAUGCCUACCUAUUUACUAAAAUCUUGUUCAAAUGAACUUCUACCGGCAGUGACAAACAUUGUUUAUUGCUCGUUGUCAGAAUCACUGGUGCCAUCUUCAUUUAAGCAAGCUAUCGUUCGACCAUUGCUGAAGAAACCUAGUCUAGAUCGUGAAGUGUCAAAAAAACUACCGUCCGGUGUCAAACCUUCCGUUUUUGUCAAAGGUCUUGGAAAAAGUUGUUUCAUCUCGGCUUGAACACCACAUAGAAUCGAAUAAUCUGCACGAAAAUCUGCAAUCUGCAUACCGAGCUCGUCAUUCUACAGAAACAGCUCUUCUACGUGUUCACCACGAUAUAGUUUCUGCACUGGACAAAAACAGUUGUGUUGUACUUCUGAUGAUCGAUCUUUCGGCCGCAUUUGAUGUUAUUGACC